UACGGGGGAGCAAGCGUUGUUCGGAUUUACUGGGCGUAAAGGGCGCGUAGGCGGUCAGCACAAGUCAGUUGUGAAAUCUCCGGGCUUAACUCGGAAAGGUCAACUGAUACUGUGCGACUAGAGUGCAGAAGGGGCAACUGGAAUUCUCGGUGUAGCGGUGAAAUGCGUAGAUAUCGAGAGGAACACCAGUGGCGAAGGCGAGUCUCUAGACAACUCCUGACACUGAGGCACGAAAGCUAGGGGAGCAAACAGG
rnacentral:rRNA from 1 species